AGCCGUGUGGAAGCAAUCCAAAUACCGUGGAAGUGUGGAUCAUAUGUAUAUAUAGAGAGCUAACUAAUCCUCUAUUUCCAUCAUCCUUUCUUUCCAUUUUCAUUAUAUUUUAGCAAGAAUCCUACAAGAGCAGAGAGUAUGGAUGAAUUUGACAUUGAGGCGCAAAGCACAUCAGAUGGGUUGACUCAAAGGGUAGAAAACAAAAACAGACAACUACCAAA
rnacentral:misc_RNA from 1 species